ensembl:misc_RNA Metazoa_SRP Metazoan signal recognition particle RNA
GCUGGGCGUGGUGGCUUACGCCUGUAAUCCCAGCACUUGGGAGGCUGAGGUGGGUGGAUCACCUGAGGUCAGGAGUUCAAGACCAGCCUGGCCAACAUGGUGAAAACCCGUCUCUA